rnacentral:snoRNA from 1 species
CCCCUGGAUGACGAUGAAGUCAUCUCGUACAUCCUCGCAGGGCUGGAUAUGGAGUACCAACCCCUGGUGUCGUCCCUCGACGCCCGCACCAAACCAAUCACCCUCGAUGAUCUCUUUGCUCACAUGAGCAAUUUUGAUU